GAGACCCGACUUUCUAGUAGUAGUUCAAUUUGUGCUCGACAUUAUUUUUUGGUGCCUUGGGGCUUCUAUGCCAUUGAAUCUAGAGAUCUUGCAGGAGGCAUUAUUAUUAUUUGGAGGAUAAAUGUAGCCACUAUGGAUGUCUUCCAUAAGUGUAAUUAGCAGGUUGUUAUAGUGAUUUUGAAGUUAAUGGAAUUUCUUGGCUUUUUAUUUUUAGUGUAUAUGCUACCAUCGAGU
rnacentral:lncRNA from 1 species